UACGUAGGGCGCAAGCGUUGUCCGGAAUUAUUGGGCGUAAAGAGCUCGUAGGCGGUCUGUCGCGUCGGCUGUGAAAACCCGAGGCUCAACCUCGGGCCUGCAGUCGAUACGGGCAGACUAGAGUGCUGUAGGGGAGACUGGAAUUCCUGGUGUAGCGGUGAAAUGCGCAGAUAUCAGGAGGAACACCGAUGGCGAAGGCAGGUCUCUGGGCCACUACUGACGCUGAGAAGCGAAAGCAUGGGGAGCGAACAGG
rnacentral:rRNA from 1 species